GGGGAAUUUUGGACAAUGGGCGCAAGCCUGAUCCAGCAAUGCCGCGUGAGUGAAGAAGGCCUUCGGGUUGUAAAGCUCUUUUGUCAGGGAAGAAACGGCGGAGGUUAAUACCUUCUGCUAAUGACGGUACCUGAAGAAUAAGCACCGGCUACCUACGUGCCAGCAGCCGCGGUAAUACGUAGGUGGCAAGCGUUGUCCGGAUUUACUGGGCGUAAAGGGCGUGCAGGCGGCUUGUUAAGUGCAGGGUGAAAGCUCCCGGCUCAACUGGGAGAGGUCCUUGCAUACUGGCGAGCUCGAGGGAGGCAGAGGAAAGUGGAAUUCCCGGUGUAGUGGUGAUAUGCGUAGAUAUCGGGAGGAACACCUGUGGCGAAGGCGGCUUUCUGGGCCUUACCUGACGCUGAGACGCGAAAGCGUGGGGAGCGAAC
rnacentral:rRNA from 1 species